rnacentral:rRNA from 5 species
GACCCGUGAUCCGGGUUGCGGACAGUGUCUGGUGGGUAGUUUGACUGGGGCGGUCUCCUCCUAAAGAGUAACGGAGGAGCACGAAGGUUGGCUAAUCCUGGUCGGACAUCAGGAGGUUAGUGCAAUGGCAUAAGCCAGCUUGACUGCGAGCGUGACGGCGCGAGCAGGUGCGAAAGCAGGUCAUAGUGAUCCGGUGGUUCUGAAUGGAAGGGCCAUCGCUCAACGGAUAAAAGGUACUCCGGGGAUAACAGGCUGAUACCGCCCAAGAGUUCAUAUCGACGGCGGUGUUUGGCACCUCGAUGUCGGCUCAUCACAUCCUGGGGCUGAAGUAGGUCCCAAGGGUAUGGCUGUUCGCCAUUUAAAGUGGUACGCGAGCUGGGUUUAGAACGUCGUGAGACAGUUCGGUCCCUAUCUGCCGUGGGCGCUGGAGAACUGAGGGGGGCUGCUCCUAGUACGAGAGGACCGGAGUGGACGCAUCACUGGUGUUCGGGUUGUCAUGCCAAUGGCACUGCCCGGUAGCUAAAUGCGGAAGAGAUAAGUGCUGAAAGCAUCUAAGCACGAAACUUGCCCCGA